GUACGGACAAAAGAUAGACGUGAAGUCUUCAGCAGAUCGUAAGAGCCUAGAUGGGACAUACUUGUGUAUUAGGGAGGAUAGAUAGGUGGGAGCAGCAUUAUGUAGAGAUUAUGUAGAUAUGUUUAGGAAGGCUCUGUAAGUCACAUGGAGUGAGGUGUGACUAGGGCUGCAUAAACAAAGUGAUUUAAUUCUGAAAUGGCAGAGAAUCAAGCAGUGAGACUG